AAAUAGAACUUUGCAGAGAGAGUUAACAGGGCGUGAAACCGUUAAUUGGCAAACGAAUCGGAGCCACGAAGUCGUUUCGUCGUUUAGUCGAGCUAGGUUCAGCUUGGGUCGCAGGGCCCGGGUGUACUCCUGAGCUUGGCCAAACCUUGUAAGCGUACACUGCAACCAGUUAGACGAUCAGCCGUGGGCACAGUGCUGCGUUGGUUAGUAGUAGCGCGGUUGCGUUUCGGCGCUUCUCGUGUUGCUGGGCCAGCGUGAGUGAGCUACGGCUGAAUACUGACUGGCGAAAUGAAAAUCGCCUUCACGGCGUUAGAGACAACGCGUCCGUCGGAUGCGAGCCUACACAGUCGACUGUUAGGUCUAAGCUUGGCGUUUUUGAAUUCAGACUUGCUUGCUACCAGUGGGGCAACCCCUGGUGCUUGUACAGCUUCUGUCUAAUCGGGCGUCGACUUGGCCUGGCAUCGUUCGGCUGUGCUUCGAUAGGGUUCGCAUGCGAGCGGGUCCGCAAUGUGAAUUGGCAGUGAGUAGGUCGGCUUUCCGAACGACCCGUCUUGAAACACGGA
rnacentral:rRNA from 1 species